rnacentral:rRNA from 1 species
AACGAACGCUGGCGGCAGGCCUAACACAUCCAAGUCGAACGCACCGCCAGGAGAGUGGCGCACGGGGGAGUAACACGUGGGAAUGUAUCCUUUGGUUCGGAAUAACGUCUUGAAACGGACGCUAAUACCGGAUGAGCCCCAUGGGGGUAAGAUUUAUCGCCGAAGGAGCAGCCCGCGUCUGAUUAGGUAGUUGGUGGGGUAAAGGCCUACAAAGCCGACGAUCAGGAGCUGGUCUGAGCGGAUGCUCAGCCACACUGGGACUGAGACACGGCCAAGACUCCUACGGGAGGCAGCAGUGGGGAAUAUUGGACAAUGGGCGCAAGCCUGUUCCAGCCAUGCCGCGUGAGUGAUGAAUGCCUUCGGGUUGUAAAGCUCUUUCGCACACGACGAUGAUGACGGUAGUGUGAGAAGAAGCCCCGGCUAACUUCGUGCCAGCAGCCGCAGUAAGAC